UACGUAGGGUGCGAGCGUUGUCCGGAAUUACUGGGCGUAAAGAGCUCGUAGGUGGUUUGUCGCGUUGUUCGUGAAAUCUCACGGCUUAACUGUGAGCGUGCGGGCGAUACGGGCAGACUAGAGUACUGCAGGGGAGACUGGAAUUCCUGGUGUAGCGGUGGAAUGCGCAGAUAACAGGAGGAACACCGGUGGCGAAGGCGGGUCUCUGGGCAGUAACUGACGCUGAGGAGCGAAAGCGUGGGGAGCGAACAGG
rnacentral:rRNA from 1 species